AUGACGGCCCUAUGGGUUGUAAACUGCUUUUGUACACCAAGAAAACUCGCUACGUGUAGCGAUCUGACGGUAGUGUAUGAAUAAGCAUCGGCUAACUCCNUGCCAGCACCCGCGGUAAUACGGAGGAUGCAACCGUUAUCCGGAUUCAUUGGUUUUAAAGGGUGCGUAGGCGGCUUUUAAUUUCAGUGGUGAAAUCCUGCCCCUUAACGGUAGAAUUGCCAUUGAUACUGAAAGGCUUGAGUCCAGUUGAGGUAAGCGGAAUGUGUAGUGUAGCGGUGAAAUGCUUAGAUAUUACACAGAACACCAAUUGCGAAGGCAGCUUACUAAACUGUAACUGACGCUGAUGCACG
rnacentral:rRNA from 1 species